GCCUGGCUGGCUUAGUCAGUAGAGCAUGCAACUCUUAAUCUCAGGGUCAUGAGUUCAAGCCCCAUGUUGGGCA
rnacentral:tRNA from 1 species